UACAGAGGGCGCGAGCGUUAAUCGGAUUCACUGGGCGUAAAGGGCGCGUAGGCGGUUAUAUGAGUGUGAUGUGAAAGCCCUGGGCUCAACCUAGGAAGUGCAUCGCAAACGAUAUGACUGGAGUAUUGGAGAGGGUAGCGGAAUUUCCGGUGUAGCGGUGAAAUGCGUAGAGAUCGGAAGGAACGUCAAUGGCGAAGGCAGCUACCUGGCCAAAUACUGACGCUGAGGCGCGAAAGCGUGGGGAGCAAACAGG
rnacentral:rRNA from 1 species